UGUCAUUAAAUUCACUAAGGUCCUAUUGU
rnacentral:piRNA from 1 species